rnacentral:rRNA from 1 species
AUGGGACGUACCACGGUCAAUCCUAUUUGGGCGAGGAUUUGGAAACCUGCUUGUCCAGCAAAGGUUAAAAUAUUUAUUUGGCGUACACUUCACGGCACUCUUCCGUGUCGUGUUAACUUAGCUAAUAGACAUGUGAAAGUCUCGCCUAAGUAUCCUGCCUGCUCAUCUGGGCCAGAAGACACAAAACAUCUGUUGUUUCUAUGUGACGUAGCAAAAGAAGUCUGGAGAAGACUAGGGAUGGACGAUAUUAUCGACAGAGCUUGUAAAAUAGACUAUGCGGGUGAGGCAAUCUUGGAAUAUUUACUUUCAUUACCAGAUCAGGAACUAUGUAUUAUGGGCACUUGUAAUGUGCAUGACAUGAUUGCCAUAUCAGCCUGGUACUUGUGGUGAGAAAGGCGCAAAUUGGUACACAAUGAGACUACUCAGAAUGCACAACAGAUAUCCAUGGGGAUACGCGCUCUCACUGCCAAUUUUGUUAAUGCCUCCUCGCCGAAGGCUUCCAUGAAAAGAGGAGGAUGGUCUAGCCCCCCGACGGGAUUUGUUAAACUAACGUUGAUACUUCUUUUGACCACGGCCUUCUCAGGGGUACGAUCGGUGCGGUCUUAA